AGCAUAUCAAUAAGCGGAGGAAAAGAAAAUAACAAUGAUUCCCCUAGUAACUGCGAGUGAAGAGGGACAAGCUCAAAUUUUAAAUCCAUCGGGUUUUACCCGAUCGAGUUGUAAUUUGAAGAGGCGUUUUCUGUGUUUCUGAUCAGUCCAAGUCCUUUGGGAUAAGGCAUCAUGGAGGGUGAGAAUCCCGUCCGGUUGAUCAGAUUCGCUUUACGAUACGCUUUCUAAGAGUCAAGUUGUUUGGGAUUGCAGCUUAAAAUGGGAGGUAAAUUUCUCCUAAGGCUAAAUAACGGCGAGAGACCGAUAGCGAACAAGUACCGUGAGGGAAAGAUGAAAAGAACUUUGAAAAGAGAGUUAAACAGUACGUGAAAUUGUUGAAAGGGAAACGAUUGAAGCCAGUCGUACCUUCGGGUAAUCAGCCUUUCGGGUGCGAUUAUGUGGAGUGUGAGGAGCUUAAACACCUUCAUGUUUUGCAUAUUCGUACUCUUGGGUGUACUUGCCCGUGUGGUUGGUUAACAUCAAUUUUGGUGG
rnacentral:ncRNA from 1 species